UGCAGUCGAGCGGUAGAGAGAGCUUGCUUCUCUUGAGAGCGGCGGACGGGUGAGUAAUGCCUAGGAAUCUGCCUGGUAGUGGGGGAUAACGUCCGGAAACGGACGCUAAUACCGCAUACGUCCUACGGGAGAAAGCAGGGGACCUUCGGGCCUUGCGCUAUCAGAUGAGCCUAGGUCGGAUUAGCUAGUUGGUGGGGUAAUGGCUCACCAAGGCGACGAUCCGUAACUGGUCUGAGAGGAUGAUCAGUCACACUGGAACUGAGACACGGUCCAGACUCCUACGGGAGGCAGCAGUGGGGAAUAUUGGACAAUGGGCGAAAGCCUGAUCCAGCCAUGCCGCGUGUGUGAAGAAGGUCUUCGGAUUGUAAAGCACUUUAAGUUGGGAGGAAGGGCCAUUACCUAAUACGUGAUGGUUUUGACGUUACCGACAGAAUAAGCACCGGCUAACUCUGUGCCAGCAGCCGCGGUAAUACAGAGGGUGCAAGCGUUAAUCGGAAUUACUGGGCGUAAAGCGCGCGUAGGUGGUUUGUUAAGUUGGAUGUGAAAUCCCCGGGCUCAACCUGGGAACUGCAUUCAAAACUGACUGACUAGAGUGUGGUAGAGGGUGGUGGAAUUUCCUGUGUAGCGGUGAAAUGCGUAGAUAUAGGAAGGAACACCAGUGGCGAAGGCGACCACCUGGACCAACACUGACACUGAGGUGCGAAAGCGUGGGGAGCAAACAGGAUUAGAUACCCUGGUAGUCCACGCCGUAAACGAUGUCAACUAGCCGUUGGGAGCCUUGAGCUCUUAGUGGCGCAGCUAACGCAUUAAGUUGACCGCCUGGG
rnacentral:rRNA from 1 species